UCCAUCUCAUGCAUAAAAGCACUUUGUCCGAAUGUACUAAUAGCAGAGCAGCACAGCAAAGUGACAUUAGAGAGAGUCAUCAGAUAGAUAGACGGAGGGAGGGGGAGAGAGAGAGAGAGAGAGAGAGUGUGUCAAUAGAUAGAUGGAGGGAGAGAGAUAGGAAGUUCUUAUGCUGAAAGUAUGCCUCCUUUUCUCUACCCACCCCACCCCCCUUCUCGUCCCUGCACACGGCUGUUGUUUGUCGAUGCCUAAAAUACUUUAAGGGAAUGUCCAAGAAGUUUUGUUUUUCCCCAAAAUGUCACCGUAGCAGCUUGAUGAGUUGCAAACAGUCGAUCUGAUUGGUUUGAUGACACAUGCACAUUUCUGAAGAAGCUUUCUGAGUCAGAGGUGUUUACGGUGGCAGUGAUGGGAAACAGGGGUCUCUAAAAAACAUUACCUGGGUUAUUACAUAGAAUAGUUACAAAUUCAUUCCCUGUUCUCUCACAUUAUAUAGGCUUCUCUCUCUCUCUCUCUCUCUCUCUCUCUCUCUCUCUCUCUCUCUCUCGAGUACUCUGUGGUACCUCUUUAUUUCAUCCUCACUCUUAGUCAUGCAUGCAAGCACAAACCCAAACCAUAUAGCCUCUUCUGGAGGACAAAAAAUGUCUGAUGUUUCAAGGAAAAAAGGUACUAUAAACUAAUCAACGUUUUAGUGUUAUUAUUAUAUGUUACAUAUAAAACAUUACAUAUAAAAAUCCAGUGAUUUUAGUCGUCACGUAAUGCCAUUGUGAACGUGAAGGACUUCUGGUUUCUAUAACCAACACAAUCCUGACUGAACCAUUUCUCAUCUAAACACGCUGCAUGACUGUUUACUUCUCAUCGAGUGAAUUAUACGAAAAGUUUGACAAAUCCGACUUUCCCUUUAAGCCCAGUCCCUCAGAGGCUGAAUCAUUUUUGGCCCAAUUACAUAGAUUGAAUGUUGCUUUUUGUAAAUAAGUUUUGUUGAUCUUGUAUUCCAAAGAAAGAGCCAGACUUCACCGGAGGCUCUCAAAUCCGCCAGUACAGAACCAGGCUGUUGAUUCUCUGCUCCUCUAAUCAAGACCAAUCAAAUAUAUUUGAUUCAUGUCUAGCAAACACUCAUUUAAAAAAAAAAAAAAAGAUAUUUUUGUUUAUUUGUGCCUUUUGUCAUGGUCUAAAAAUUGAAUGUAGUCUAACGUCUAAAUAUCGGACAUGUUUUUAUGUCCAGAAUGAUGGAUGUAUUUGGGAAAGUGUUCCUUGUGAGACUGUCGGGCCUUUCGGUUACAGUCACUGUAGUCGAUUAGUUUGCCAAUAUCAGCGGCUGAAGGUUGUACACACCUCCAGUGUAUGCGAAUCAGAAGUUGUCAUUAUGGGAUAAAUUCAUUGUGUGUACAAGUGGAAUUCUUGGAGAAUUUUACUUCCCAACUUCCUGUCUCGGAUCUCUUCAUCGCCAUAUUUCUUUUACCUCGUUUGUUUUCCAGAAUAUCAUGGUCUGUCUGUCUUUUUUUUUUUUUUUUUUUUUUUUAAAUACCCAAUGGUAAUCAUUGCCGUUCUCGACUUACUAAGUCGCCACGAAGCCGAGAGGGUGUAGUCAGUUACCACGUCUUUUCAAGCUGACGCCCACUCAGUGUCAUAGGGCAGCUGAAUGCGCUUUGAAGAUAGUGAUAACCACCCACUCCUGUACACGUGACUAUCCUUUCUCUGAGUUGCUAGGAGGAAAGGAUUCAGACCUGCCGCUCUUAUGGCCAGUUGUGUUUUACUGCAAACUCUAACUAUUACACUUUUGGGCAAAAUCCAAUUCAACAUUUCUUCCAUCAUCUUCCGUUUUGCUUUCAGAAGAAGGGAGAGAGAGAGAAAUAGGAAGGGAAUGGACACUAGAAAACGUCUGGGAUUGAUGUACCCCAGCACAAUUUAGGCCUACUCAGUAUUUCAGAACUUCUUUCUGUUUUGACACUAUUGCAUAUGUAGAGAGAGACUAUAUUGGUAAAUUUGUCUGAAAAUGUUCUCUUUUUUUUUUUUCUUUUCUUUUUUUUUUUUUCAUAUGUAACAUUGGCCAAUCUCUCUUAAAGAGAUGAUAUCUUGUUGAUAUUCAAUAGGUUAUUUCUUAACAUGUUAAUCAUCAUAUGUGGUCUUGAGGUAAAUUGUAUAUUCUGUCUUUGUAUCAGGUUCUGACUUUUUAAGAGUUUUCUGAUUAUUUUGGUUUGAGGAUUUGUAACAGACCCAAAGCCGACUAAAAUGGUGCCAAAUAAUCGUUAAGUCGCCUGAAAUCUGAAACAACACUGAGCACGCAAUCAUGGUCCAAAAACUCGGUCAAAUACACAUUUAUUUUGUGUGGUGUGUUUGUGUAAGAUAUUUGUCUUUAGAAAGUUGUACAAUUUAAGUGCCCCUCAAAACAAACGUUUACUUGGAGCUUGGAGUCAAGCUGUAAAGCACUUUUUAGAAUAUUUUUGUCUGCAUGUUGUAGAAACAGAGUUUAUGCAUCUUAGAAUAAUAUUAGAGCAGAGCACUCGACUCUUAUUUUGCUUGCUGAGUGUAGCACAGUGUGAGACGUCCUUCCUUUUGGCCCGUGCUCGGGUCAUUAAAAGAGACAGUGGCCUCUGCUGGUAGAAGUUAUGUAGGUCGAGCUAGUUGCUAAGUGUCUUCUGCUCUGUGUUCAGGGUCGUGUAUAUGGCCAUCUCUUUAUAAUGGAUUAACUGGCUCAUUAGAAAAAGCUCUUGUAUAGCAGAGACAGAUCUUGCUGUUUGCAUCAGGUCUUGCUAUUUGCAUGAUUCUGUUGGCCUUUUUGCAUUUUGUCUCUCUAAUCUUGUCAGGGUUUUUUUGCUAUUUACCUUGCCCCCCUCUCAGAACAAUCGUCCUCCGUGCUUAAUGUGCAAUACUGCUGAAUGUGGUUUCUCUGAGGUAGCUGCUAGAGAGGGAUGAAGAUUGUUAGAGAGAGUAAGUGUGUGGACUGGAGGCUGGUCCUUCACUGGUCUUGGUCUGCUGGUCCGUCAGCGUUGGUAGAGUCCUGUUACACACGAGGAAAAAAACAAAAAAGCUAUAGUUUUAAAAUGAUUUUUUUUUUUCUUGAAAAUGUAAAAGCAUCAAAGUUUUGUAAAUUGUCCUUAUGAGAGGGGGACAUAUUUGUACACACAUUUAAUCCUGUAAAGAAAAAUAUAAAAGCAAACACUUUUGAAAGAUUACGAUCCAGUCACUAAAGAUUACUGUUGACUUGUGUGUAAACUUCACUUUUUUUUUUUUUUUAACCGAAAAAAAAAAAAAAAGCUUAAUCAGUGUUCUUUCCAGUUCUUUUAGAAAUCAGAAUUUUGUAGUCCAUCAAUAAACAUGAUGAAAAUGACUCUGGUCUUCAGUAUUUUUGUUGUGUAAUCCUACUUUAAACAGAAUUCUGCCCUGAACAUCAUGCAUAUUCAUCAUUAUUAUAAUUAAUGUGCACUCUUCAGUAUGGUCCAGGAGUUAGGGUUUUUUUUUGUUGUUGUUGUUUGUUUUUUAAAUAAAGUUGAUUUAUUCAGUUUAAACUUCUUUCAUUGAUAUGUUGGUCAAUUUUCACAUUGGUUAAUGGUUUCAUAUAUUACCCACAAUGCUCUUCAGCUUCCCGCUGAUAGUAGUGAUAAUGGGAAUUCAUCUCCACUUAGAGACCGAUGCAGCAGUGCUUAAUCAUUCAGUCUGUCCAGCUUGCUCACCUCAUCUCAAACACAAGCUUCAGCUUACGUACUGAUACCAAUGCCACUGUGCUCAUCAUCUUCCUAGCCGAGCCC
ensembl:lncRNA